CAUCGAUAAGCGUCGUGUAAAACGAACACGUUAAUACUCAAUUUUCAGCUUGCGCUUAAUUGGCUAAAGUCUAGACGAGAAUAUUUUGCAUUACAUAAGAUGAUGGACUGAAAGCUGCUAGUUUCUUUGUGGUUGUUCGUAUACCAGCUUCGAGAGAUGUCUGACGACGAUCUUUUUGAACAGACAGGGCAGUACGAACCCGUCACAACUCGCAUUCGUAAUAUACUCCGUGAG